UACGAAGGGGGCUAGCGUUGUUCGGAAUUACUGGGCGUAAAGCGCGCGCAGGCGGUCCUUCAAGUCAGAGGUGAAAGCCCAGAGCUCAACUCUGGAAUGGCCUUUGAGACUAGAGGACUUGGGUACGGGAGAGGUGAGUGGAAUUCCGAGUGUAGAGGUGAAAUUCGUAGAUAUUCGGAAGAGCACCAGUGGCGAAGGCGGCUCACUGGCCCGUUACCGACGCUCAGGCGCGACAGCGUGGGGAGCAAACAGG
rnacentral:rRNA from 1 species